rnacentral:rRNA from 1 species
AAUGAACGCUGGCGGCGUGCCUAACACAUGCAAGUCGAGCGGAUAAAUGAGGCUUGCUCUUCUCUUACGUUGCCGGCGGACGGGUGAGGAACACGAGGAUGACUUGCCUAGAAGACUAGCAUAAGUUCGCGGAACCUAAUACAAUACAGGAUAAGAUAUUGAAACGCAUGGAUCAUCAGAGAACGACGGAUUUGCUGUCCCUAAGUGGGGGUCCCUCGCCGGAUUAGUUAGUUGGUAAGAUAACGGCUUACCAAGGCAACGAUGCGUAGCCGACCAGAGAGGGGGUUCGGCCACACUGGAACUGAGACACGGUCCAGACUCCUACGGGAGGCAGCAGUAGGGAAUCUUCCGCAAUGGGCGAAAGCCUGACGGAGCAACGCCGCGUGAGUGAUGAAGGUCUUCGGAUCGUAAAACUCUGUUAUUAGGGAAGAACAAAUGUGUAAGUAACUAUGCACGUCUUGACGGUACCUAAUCAGAAAGCCACGGCUAACUACGU